rnacentral:rRNA from 1 species
UGGCGAACGGGUGAGUAACGCGUGAGUAACCUGCCCUAGAGUGGGGGACAACAGUUGGAAACGACUGCUAAUACCGCAUAAGCCCACGGUACCGCAUGGCACUGAGGGAAAAGGAUUUAUUCGCUUUAGGAUGGACUCGCGUCCAAUUAGCUAGUUGGUGAGGUAACGGCCCACCAAGGCGACGAUCCAUAGCCGACCUGAGAGGGUGACCGGCCACAUUGGGACUGAGACACGGCCCAA